GAUGAACGCUGGCGGCGUGCCUAAUACAUGCAAGUCGAGCGAACGGACGAGAAGCUUGCUUCUCUGAUGUUAGCGGCGGACGGGUGAGUAACACGUGGAUAACCUACCUAUAAGACUGGGAUAACUUCGGGAAACCGGAGCUAAUACCGGAUAAUAUUUUGAACCGCAUGGUUCAAAAGUGAAAGACGGUCUUGCUGUCACUUAUAGAUGGAUCCGCGCUGCAUUAGCUAGUUGGUAAGGUAACGGCUUACCAAGGCAACGAUGCAUAGCCGACCUGAGAGGGUGAGCGGCCACACUGGAACUGAGACACGGUCCAGACUCCUACGGGAGGCAGCAGUAGGGAAUCUUCCGCAAUGGGCGAAAGCCUGACGGAGCAACGCCGCGUGAGUGAUGAAGGUCUUCGGAUCGUAAAACUCUGUUAUUAGGGAAGAACAUAUGUGUAAGUAACUGUGCACAUCUUGACGGUACCUAAUCAGAAAGCCCCGGCUAACUACGUG
rnacentral:rRNA from 1 species